AGAAGGGCUGGGAUUCACAGCAAGCUCAUGUGUCUAGGAUGAUGAAGUUCCUUCCAGGAAGAAAACUGGAUGUGAUAUUGUUCCCAAGGAAUGAGCCAAGAGAAGCUAUGAGGUACUUUACCUAAGUACCAGUCCAAAAGACACCUGUGUGCCUAGACACCAUUGAGCUUUCCCAAAUAGAAUGAGUGGUGGCCUCUGUGACCCCACAUGAGAGGUCACUGUCAUGAUUAUGGGCAUACCCAGUUCUGAAGGCAGCAGAGACCAUUGCAGUGGGCUAGGUUUCAAAACUAGGAGAGUCAGCAGGGAUUCUUUUAGAUGAACCAAGCAAGUCUCCAAAAGACACAAGGAUGUAUCCUGAAACCAAAAGUCCCAUGCAAAACGUUCAAACACAAAGAUUCUGGCAUCAGGAACUUCUUUGGUUGCUAUUUAUGGAAGCUCAAGAGGUUCCCCCAAACAAUAUAAGUGACCUUGGAAACCAUAUACUUCUGCUGUUGGCUGUCCCGUUCAGCCUGUCCUCUUCACUGUGCAGGAACCAUCCAAGGGACUGCAUGCCAAGGACUGGGGAAUCACUACAAGUCAUUUGAAGAUUCACUACCUUUUCUGAAGCUUGGAAGGAAAAACAUAAUGAAUAAGUCCACUAUGAUUUGGUGCUUUUAAUGUUUUUUUGUUUGUUUGCUUGUUUGUCUUUUCAACCCUUCAUGUUGUGUUGACUUAUCCCAAGGCAUCAUUAUCAACCAAAGACCUGCAAUAAACCAGCCAUUCUC
ensembl:lincRNA 4930584F24Rik RIKEN cDNA 4930584F24 gene